UGGGAUGUAGCUCAGUGGCAAAGCGCUUGCCUAGCAAGCACAGCGUCCUGGGUUCGAUCCCCAGUACCAA
rfam:Dipodomys ordii contig_9328, whole genome shotgun sequence.